AUGAUGUCACAGACACAGGUCCUCUUGUCGGUGUUUCUCUGGGUCUCAGGUGCCUGUGGGGACCUCGUGAUGACGCAGUCUCCAGGCUCCUUGGCAGUGUCUCUAGGACAGAGAGUCGAGAUGAAGUGCAAGGCCAGUCAGAGUGUUAGCAGCUACUUAGCUUGGUACCAGCAGAAACCAGGACAGGCUCCUAAGCAGCUCAUCUACAGUGCAUCCAGCAGAGCGUCUGGGGUCCCCGACCGAUUCAGUGGCAGUGGAUCUGGGACAGAUUUCACUCUCACCAUCAGCAGCCUCCAGGCUGAAGAUCUGGCCAUUUAUUACUGUCAGCAGUAUAAUAGUGCUCCUCCCACAGUGCUUCAGCCUCGAACAGAAACCUCCUCCCCAAACCAUGGGUCUGUGAGUCUUUUCUUCACCAGCUUCUUCCUCCCAACACGGCCGUGA